rnacentral:rRNA from 1 species
CCUACGGGAGGCAGCAGUGAGGAAUAUUGGUCAAUGGGCUUACGCCUGAACCAGCCAAGUCGCGUGAGGGAAGACUGCCCUAUGGGUUGUAAACCUCUUUUGUCAGGGAGCAACGCCCGCUACGUGUAGCCCUACUGAGAGUCCCUGAAGACAAAGCAUCGGCUAACUCCGUGCCAACAGCCGCGGUAAUACGGAGGAUGCGAGCGUUAUCCGGAUUUAUUGGGUUUAAGGGGUGCGUAGGUGGUUAAUUAAGUCAGCGGUGAAAGUUUGUGGCUCAACCAUAAAAUUGCCGUUGAAACUGGUAGACUUGAGUAUAGUUGAGGUAGGCGGAAUGCGUGGUGUAGCGGUGAAAUGCAUAGAUAUCACGCAGAACUCCGAUUGCGAAGGCAGCUUACUAAACUAUAACUGACACUGAAGCACGAAAGCGUGGGGAUCAAACAGGAUUAGAUACCCUGGUAGUC